rnacentral:rRNA from 1 species
GCAUUCGAUACGGGCGAGCUAGAGUGUGGUAGGGGAGACUGGAAUUCCUGGUGUAGCGGUGGAAUGCGCAGAUAUCAGGAGGAACACCAAUGGCGAAGGCAGGUCUCUGGGCCAUUACUGACACUGAGGAGCGAAAGCGUGGGGAGCGAACAGGAUUAGAUACCCUGGUAGUCCACGCCGUAAACGGUGGGCACUAGUUGUGGGAACCUUCCACGGUUUCUGCGACGCAGCUAACGCAUUAAGUGCCCCGCCUGGGGAGUACGAUCGCAAGAUUAAAACUCAAAGGAAUUGACGGGGCCCCGCACAAGCAGCGGAGCAUGCGGCUUAAUUCGACGCAACGCGAAGAACCUUACCAAGGCUUGACAUAUACAGGAAUAUGGCAGAAAUUCCAUAGCCGCAAGGUCUGUAUACAGGUGGUGCAUGGUUGUCGUCAGCUCGUGUCGUGAGAUGUUGGGUUAAGUCCCGCAACGAGCGCAACCCUUAUUCUAUGUUGCCAGCACGUAAAUGGUGGGGACUCGUAGGAGACUGCCGGGGUUCAACUCGGAGGAAGGUGGGGAUGACGUCAAGUCAUCAUGCCCCUUAUGUCUAGGGCUGCAAACACGCUACAAAUGGCCGGUACAAAGGGGCUGC